CUGAGGGGGAAGUAGCCCUGCUCUGUUGUCCCAUGGGCUCUUGGUGCUUUCCUGUGUUCCUUCAAGCCAAGCCUGAGCAGAGGACGCCAGUGCAAACCAGCACCGUCUGUUUCCUUUGGGGUGCGGUGCUACAUUUGAGACCGUCCUGGGUACAAGCAUCAGUCAAGGAGAUGAGUGUGUCCUGAGUAAGAAGAAUGGCAGCAGCCAGCAGACAUGGUGGCCAAGGCAGAAGCUGAGAGCUCGUAUUUUAAACUACAAACAGGAAGUGUAGAGUGAGCUCAAAUUAAUGUGAGACUUUGAAACCUCAUCGCCAUCCCUGAGGGAUGCAACUUCCUCCGUUAAGGCUGAACCUCCUGAACCUCCCAAAGAAUGCAGGAGCUGCAGAGCAAGUGUGCAAAUGCCCGAGACUGUUCAGAGAGAGGCGUCACAUCUGGAACACACACACAGACACACACACAGACACACACACAGACACACACACACAGACACACACA